GGUGAGGAACAUGAGGCUUUAAAGAAGAAAUAUCAAGAAGAAUGACAUGUUUUGAAUUACUGUUGUUUUUUUGCAACUGGUGAUGAAUAUGGAAAUAGCAAGAUGGUGAUUGUAGCUGCAACACCAACUAAGAAUCCUUUUUAGGCCUCCAGAGUGUAUGAAGUUUACAACUUUGGUUGCUUGGUUCCUCUUCCGUGCGUGAAAGGAAGGGCGAGGAGAAGGAACACUAACUGCUGGCGGCGGAUAGGAAGAAAGGGCGCAGAUGGUGACCAAAUUAGACGACGAGAGACCAGGAUACUUGAUAUCAACAAUAUGAAGCUACAUGUCUAAACGAUGCUUUUAGUAAUUAUUUUUUCAUACAUAAAAUGUUUCAGGUCGACAACCCAUACUUCCAUAGCUCUAACAUAGAGAUUGCUAAUGGAUUGACAUCUCUAGACUUACUCUCUAAUUAAACAUAAUAAUCAGAGUGAUGGAAGAAGGGGUAUUAUGUCUUGAAUAGAGUUUGGCUCAACUUGGAUAGUUGUUGGGUACUGCAAUCGUUGUUUUUUCAGCGGUCACGGAAGUUUCAACCUCCAUUCUUUUCGAUUGCUACAGGUCUCCGCACUCAAAGGAAGUAUAUGCGGUGUCAAUUGUUGGGUGGCAUUACAGAUGUUUGUUGUUUUGCCUUGAGAGUUAUGUUGAUGAAUCAAGGUGAGCUUGAUCCAAAUAGUGAUAAUGAGCAAAGAAUUGGCCGGUAUUUUGAAGUCAUGGGAAGUAAAAUUUAAGAAAUCACAAGCAUUCUAAGGAAAAGGGCGGUCAUCAUUUUCACAACAAUUCUUUGACUGCAUGAGUUCAUAUUAUAUUAUACAUAUAAUUAUAAAUAAAACUUUCUUCAUUA